GCGGACGUGGUCGAAGUGGCUAUGACGCCGGGUCCUCGUCCCGGAGAAGAGGGUUCGACUCCCUCCGUCCGUC
rnacentral:tRNA from 1 species